GACGAACGCUGGCGGCGUGCUUAACACAUGCAAGUCGAACGAAGUGGCGAACGGGUGAGUAACGCGUAAUCAACCUGCCCUUCAGAGGGGGACAACAGUUGGAAACGACUGCUAAUACCGCAUACUGAAGGAGGGGAUUGCGUCUGAUUAGCUAGUUGGAGGGGUAACGGCCCACCAAGGCGAUGAUCAGUAGCCGGUCUGGGUGGGUGGACGGCCACAAUGGGAAUUGGGCAUGGGCCAGACCCCUACGGGAGGCAGCAGGGGGGGAACUUCGGCAAUGGGCGGAAGUCUGACGGAGCAACGGCGCGUGAGUGAUGCCGGUCUUCGGGUUGUAAAGCUCUGUUAAUCGGGACGCGGUACCUGUAUAGAAAGCCACGGCUAACUACGUGCCAGCAGCCGCGGUAAUUC
rnacentral:rRNA from 1 species